CGUAAUGAUGGCCAGGCUGUCUCCACCCGAGACUCAGUGAAAUUGAACUCGCUGUGAAGAUGCAGUGUACCCGCGGCAAGACGGAAAGACCCCGUGAACCUUUACUAUAGCUUGACACUGAACAUUGAGCCUUGAUGUGUAGGAUAGGUGGGAGGCUUUGAAGUGUGGACGCCAGUCUGCAUGGAGCCGACCUUGAAAUACCACCCUUUAAUGUUUGAUGUUCUAACGUGGACCCGUAAUCCGGGUUGCGGACAGUGUCUGGUGGGUAGUUUGACUGGGGCGGUCUCCUCCUAAAGAGUAACGGAGGAGCACGAAGGUUGGCUAAUCCUGGUCGGACAUCAGGAGGUUAGUGCAAUGGCAUAAGCCAGCUUGACUGCGAGCGUGACGGCGCGAGCAGGUGCGAAAGCAGGUCAUAGUGAUCCGGUGGUUCUGAAUGGAAGGGCCAUCGCUCAACGGAUAAAAGGUACUCCGGGGAUAACAGGCUGAUACCGCCCAAGAGUUCAUAUCGACGGCGGUGUUUGGCACCUCGAUGUCGGCUCAUCACAUCCUGGGGCUGAAGUAGGUCCCAAGGGUAUGGCUGUUCGCCAUUUAAAGUGGUACGCGAGCUGGGUUUAGAACGUCGUGAGACAGUUCGGUCCCUAUCUGCCGUGGGCGCUGGAGAACUGAGGGGGGCUGCUCCUAGUACGAGAGGACCGGAGUGGACGCAUCACUGGUGUUCGGGUUGUCAUGCCAAUGGCACUGCCCGGUAGCUAAAUGCGGAAGAGAUAAGUGCUGAAAGCAUCUAAGCACGAAACUUGCCCCGAGAUGAGUUCUCCCUGAGACUUAGAGUCUCCUGAAGGAACGUUGAAGACGACGACGUUGAUAGGCCGGGUGUGUAAGCGCAGCGAUGCGUUGAGCUAACCGGUACUAAUGAACCGUGAGGCUUAACCUUACAACGCCGAAG
rnacentral:rRNA from 1 species